AAACGAAAAGAAACGAAAAGAAACGAAAAGAAACGAAAAGAAACGAAAAGAAACGAAAAGAAACGAAAAGAAACGAAAAGAAACGAAAAGAAACGAAAAGAAACGAAAAGAAACGAAAAGAAACGAAAAGCUCUGCAUAAAAGCAGUGGCAAGCUUUGGAAGCAAUGAAACACAGGGACAAAUUUUGAUGGAAACUGGAACCUGUAGGCGUCAAUGCGACUGGUCAUCUUCAGAGCCUGCAUCCUGUUUCUCUUUGUGCCCAGCACUUAGCCAGGAGGCUGGCAAGAACCGAUUACUGAAAAGAUCAACAAAUGAACGAAAGG